rnacentral:lncRNA from 1 species
UGCUGUGGUGGCAGCAGGUGCUGUCGUCCCUGCUAGAGAUGCUGCCACCAACGUCCUCGGGCAGGAACCUUCAAGA